rnacentral:rRNA from 1 species
GCGCAGCAGUCGCGAAUUUCUCAAUGGGGAAACCCUGAAGGAGCGACGCCGCGUGGAGGAUGAAGGCUUCGGUUGUAAACUCCUGUCAUUUGAGAACAAGUGGCCGAACGUAACUACUUCGGCCUUGAUAGUAUCAGAAGAGGAAGGGACGGCUAACUCUGUGCCAGCAGCCGCGGUAAUACAGAGGUCUCAAGCGUUGUUCGGAUUCAUUGGGCGUAAAGGGUGCGUAGGUGGCGCCGUAAGUCGGGUGUGAAAUUUCGGAGCUUAACUCCGAAACUGCAUUCGAUACUGCGGUGCUUGAGGACUGGAGAGGAGACUGGAGUUUACGGUGUAGCAGUGAAAUGCGUAGAGAUCGUAAGGAAGACCAGUGGCGAAGGCGGGUCUCUGGACAGUUCCUGACACUGAGGCACGAAGGCCAGGGGA